UAUUUCUCCAUAAGAUAGUCAGUUUUCUCUUUCUCCGAUCGUCGAACUGCAGCCGGUGUGUCCAUAGAUCUUAUUUUGAUGUAUGUUGUAGCCUGAAUCUUCUUUACAACGUCAACAUAAAUAAACAUGUUUGGAUGUUUUGAAUAAAAUUGUUCAUUAAAAUGUGCAUGGAAUGACUCCGGUCCAUUGUUGGUUCGUUUAAAAUUAGCAGUGGGUGUAGCAGCCCAAAAUGACGGUGGAUAUCUAGAUUCCGGGCGUAUA
rnacentral:lncRNA from 1 species